GGAGUAGUAGCUCAGUGGUAGAGCGUGGGAUUGCAGUUAUAUUUAGACCAUCCUAAGGUAAUUAAUACUACUCAAAAUAUAUCAGAUUAAGGUUAAUUAUUGUAUAGGCCAUGUGUUCGACCCACAUUUACUCCU